UACGGAGGAUGCAAGCGUUAUCCGGAAUGAUUGGGCGUAAAGGGUUCGCAGGUGGCAAUGUAAGUCUGCUGUCAAAGAAUGAGGCUUAACCUCAUCAAGGCAGUGGAAACUACAUAGCUAGAGUACGGUCGGGGUAGAAGGAAUUCCUGGUGUAGCGGUGAAAUGCGUAGAGAUCAGGAAGAACACCGGUGGCGAAAGCGUUCUGCUAGACCUGUACUGACACUGAGGGACGAAAGCUAGGGGAGCGAAUGGG
rnacentral:rRNA from 1 species